AGGUCCAGCAAACCCUAACCCAGGGAAUGCUGCACCUCCUCCUCCACCAGCAGAACCAAUAGUCCCUGAUGUCCGGAUACCCAAACCUGGUUCAUCAGUUGGGGGUAAAGUAAAGAUGACAGAUUACCUCAAGUUGGAUGCCCCCAAGUUCGAAGCAGGCGAUGACCCUUUUGAGUACCUCAGAACGGUAAAGAUGAUAACAGAUGAGCUAGGAGCAAGUGACAGUAGAGCCAUUCAGAUGGCAGGGUUCACAUUGAAAUGCAAGAAGGCAAGGGAAU
rnacentral:lncRNA from 1 species